rnacentral:rRNA from 1 species
GUGAGGAAUAUUGGUCAAUGGACGAGAGUCUGAACCAGCCAAGUCGCGUGAAGGAAGACGGUUCUAUGAAUUGUAAACUUCUUUUGUGCAGGAAUAAAGUGGGUUACGUGUAACCUUUUGUAUGUACUGUACGAAUAAGGAUCGGCUAACUCCGUGCCAGCAGCCGCGGUAAUACGGAGGAUCCGAGCGUUAUCCGGAUUUAUUGGGUUUAAAGGGUGCGUAGGUGGAUUGAUAAGUCAGCGGUGAAAGUUUGCAGCUUAACUGUAAAAUUGCCGUAGAAACUGUCGGUCUUGAGUGCAAAUGAGGUAGGCGGAAUGUGUUGUGUAGCAGUGAAAUGCUUAGAUAUAACACAGAACUCCGAUUGCGAAGGCAGCUUACUGGGAUGCAACUGACACUGAUGCACGAAAGCGUGGGUAUCAAACAGGAUUAGAAACCCGAGUAGUCC